rnacentral:lncRNA from 1 species
GUCCCCUCAGCCAUAGGGAGUUGGUGGUAUGGUCAGAUGAGGGCUGCCAUCUUAAACCUUCCCAAAUCUAGGUAAGUGCUUCACAAAAUUCCACGUUUAAAAAAUCCCCGAAUUGCAGCAAGGCAGGAAAGAGUUAAGCAGGGAGUUGUGGAAAGGUGGGAGGGGGCAGAGGGAGAGAGAAAAGAGUUGCCCUGUUAAUUUGUUCUCAGCUUCCAAAACACAGCCACAGGAAAGUAACUCAUGAAUACCUGAAACAAAAAAAAUUCCUUCCAGUAGCACCUUAAAGACCAACUAAGUUAGUUCUUGGUAUGAGCUUUCGUGUGCAUGCACACUUCUUCAGAAGUGUGCAUGCACACCUAUACUCAUGAAUACCUGAGUAUAGGUGCUUAAGGGCUACUGAGUGCAUUGCAGCCAAGAGAGAAGCAGCUCUGCACAGCUCCCAGGCACCAGUGAGGCUGCUCGCUCUCGCCUGUCACCUGCCUCUGCCUCCUGGUGGUGGCAGUAAGGGCGAUGCCUGAGGCUGAGUGGGUUCAGGGGGCGGCGGCACAGGCACAUGCUCUCCCACCGAUAAAGAGGGAAGGCGAGGGAGGGGGAAAGGGAGCAGUGCACCCGGCAGUGUCCCCCUCACUAUGCAGCUCUGUGGCACCUGUGCCUGGCCACUCCUCCUCUUUUCUCCAACUGUGGCAGCAGGGACACAUGGAUCCCUGCCACACCACUGUCCUUGGAGGCCAGGUAGACAAUCAGUGUUUGUCAGGAGACAAAUGUUUGCUCUCACUCCAACAGUAUCUCCAGGUAUAGCAUUCUACUUUUUCUUAUUGGCAGUCAUUCAUUGAGAGAUAUAUUUGUAAAGUACAGGGUUGCCUCUACUGCAGUUAGAGUAUGGUUAUCAGACGUCCCUGUUUCCUAGGGACAGUCCCCGGAUUUGCGAAUAAGUCACCGGACAAAUUCCAUUCCCUGGACUGUCCCAGGAUUUCAUCUAAUAUCCCCAGGAAAUGUAGCAGUGGCAAUCUCAGCAGUCCGGAGUAGUUGGCUCUGGCUGGCUUCAGGAGCUGCUCGGAAGUCCCCAUAUGAUGGUGGUGCAGGGGCUCUAAGAUGCAGCUUCUGGGCUGCCUCCACCUUCCCUGACCCCAGCAACUAAGCUGUGAAGGGAGGCUUCAUGCUGCCUAUCAGAGCUUGCAUGCAAGCAGGAGGGGGCAGGGAUCUCUCAGUUAGGCAACGGGAAGCCUCCCUUCCCAGCUGAGGGAUCCCCGCCCCCUCCUGCUUGCAUGCAAGUAGGAGUGGGAUUGGGGCUGCUCUGAUGGGAAGGGAGGCAUCGCACUGCCCAAGCCUCGCCGCCGCAACUCUCGGCCCUCCUCCUCCACUUUCCAUGCCUGACCCAUCACACACCGCUUCCCCACCACCACCACCGAAGAACCAACAACUCAGGCUCAUGGAGAAAGGAGAUAGAAACCUUGGAGGAAGUGGAAAUGUGGCGGUUGAGGUCAAGGCGGCGGCGCCCCCUCUGCCACCACCAUCACUGCAGCAUCAACGCCCCAAACGUGUAGUAAUUAUUUAAUUAAAGUGUCCCCGGAUUCAUUGAAAAAAAUCUGGUAACCUUAAGUUAGAGGCACAAUAUCUCCCAUAAAGGCACUGUCUUUAGAGACCAGCCACCCAAUGUUGGGGUUGAUGUACUAAUCACUCCUCCGCUAGAACACCCAACUGCAGUCUUUUAUGUUUUCCUCUUCCUUGCAUAGAAUGCUGAUCAGUUGGAUCCCAUAAACUGAUUCCCUCCCUGGCAGCAGCCCUUUCUUCUUAAACUUUUCUUUGCUAUCAACAGCCUCAAAUAUGCCUAUGGAGCUAUUAGCGAUUAAUUCAUCUCCAAAUGGUGAUUAUGGGGUCUGUAAUGAAUACUAAUAUGACUUAUUUUCCUCCCUAGCAGGCCUUUUGCAUUUUGCAACAUUGCCUUGUUUUAUAGAUUAUUCAUAUGUAACAAUGGUUAAAUAUGCAAAUUUACAGCAGAUAACUCUCUCCAGAGGGGAAGAGCAGAGCUGCCCCUGGGCCCCGUUUAGAAAAUUAAAAACAGAGGGUGACUAAUACAUUGGUAUAAUAACUAUCCCUAUUUCCCAGCCUAAGGAUUUUCUUUUGGGGGGGGGGAGUUCUUCCUCUGUUUUUGCUUACAGCCACUUGAGCACCUUCAGAGAAUUUCAAGGGCAGACAGAAGACUUUUCUGUCAUUUCUGUAGCACCACUCUGCACAUUGCUUCUAUUUUUCUUUCACAUCUUCAGGAAAAACCACACCUGCUUUCAGUUAUAAUCUUUACCCACUUAUCAUGGGAAUAAAAAAUUAGGUAAAUAUGAACCCUUUCCCCCAGAAACAGUUACCUGCCCUGGAGCUCAUGGGCAUGGUGGCUUUGGAUUAAAUAGACUACAUACUCAGAAAGCUGUGGUGACUUUAUCCACAGAAACUUGAAAUGGCUGUGGUCUUCCUAGGUUUCUGUGUUAUGAGUUUUUCAUUAACACCUUAGUUUAUUUUAAAUUUAGUGUUUUGCUUGUGAUUUGCAGUAGUG